GAAAACGUACUCAUCAAAGACAACAUUGCGAGAGAUGAUGACUCGACGAGUGGACAAGUCAAGGCAGUGUGUUAGGUCCUAGCUUCUUGCGAAGGCAGGACGCAGCAAGGUUGGUGGAGCAAAAAUGAACGCGAGCCGUCCUUUCAAUAAAUGUAGAACGUAAAAAAUUACAACAAGGUGAGGUCUCCCUUUCAUAGUGUCCGG
rnacentral:lncRNA from 1 species